AUUAGAUGCUCCAAAAGCCACCGGGGAGGGAGACGAGUGGGUGUGCUCGCACAUAAACAACGCAGCGUUCAGGGGAUGAUCAAGAACAGAUCGCGAGAGUCACAAGUCGUUUGAGAUGCAGKGUUUAUUGAAUUAUCCUGCCAUAACAGCUGCUUUAACUGCGCCGUCUCCCUCAGGCAACUCUCUGAGCAAUAACUGAAAUCACAAAGGAUGGCAUCCGAGUGAGGCGGCGAAGACACGCAGCAGGACACAGAGGGAACGGGGAUGGAGAGACACAAAGGCAGCAUAAUGUGGAAAGCAGCUGCGAGGGGAGACAGCAUUAAGUCAAACCACAAGAUCUUUAUCAGGCACGUUGAUGAGAAAAGUGCACGGAGAAGCGUCUCGGCGAACACGCAGGGACGUGUCUGGUGCCACAGGGAGCUCUGACCUUCAGCUCGGGGACAUUCCUGGUACCCAUUUUAAGGUUUUCUAUCAGCUGCCCAUCAUUCUGGACGGUAUGAGUAGCACGCACACGUACUGCUGCAGCUACGCMGCUUCUUUUUCUUCACUAAGGAGUUCAUCUUGUCACGCUACGCUAGCAGUCCAGAACAAAAAAAAAAAAAACACAAUCUGCAAACGAGUAACAAAAACAAGGUUCCACAUUUUUCCUUUCUGUUUUUCGUGUUUGUUUUUCAGUGAUUAUGUUCAACUUAAAUUUCUCAAAUUAAUAAAUAAAAAAAAAAGCUUCAGAUUUGACAGUGUGGUAAAGUUAAAGCUGAGAGAUCUGUUUGUCUGGUUGGUUGGUUUUCACACUGACCUACGGUUGGACGAUAUCAGGAAAACACGCGACCUGACCUGUGAAAAUGUGGGCAAAGGGUGCGAUGGUCAUGUGAGCUGAACUGUACAGUGCUGAUGUCAUUCUGCCCCAGCUGGAUUACAAUCAAAAGUGAGUAGCAUGUUACGUCAUGUCUAAUAGGCGAAUGCACUGCCGCGUUGACAAUCCCUCUCUUGUGACUGCAGGAAAGAAACUUAGAAGUUUGUCGUUUUCUGUGAUGUUGAGGUGUUUAAACACAAAAUCAGAGGAGGCACCAGGAUGUAAGAAGAUACUUAAAAAGUUAGCAGAUGUUCAAUCUUGAAAUGUGUCUGCGAUUCAUUCGGGCUGCGAGAGAGUGAGCGAGAGCAAGACUUUCAGCAGAAAACAGAAUAGCUGAAGAAAGUAAAGCAGCAUUGUUUCGUUUUACUCUUUCGGGUUUUAAUGUCUGUCUUUUAUUAUAUGGAAAUGUUGGCAGCUUCCAGAAAACAAGUAGGGAUGGGAAAUUAUCGUAGCUUUCUUAUUACAACAAUUACAACAAUUUUGAUUUAUCAUAAUAAUGAUAAACUGUACUUGAUGUUGAUUGCAAACCCAAAAAAUUCAAAGCAAAGCAUUGUCAAGAUAGUUAUUUUUUUUACUAUUUUUACAAGGUUAUUUCUGUGAGAGAGCCCAAAAAGACUGGAAGGAGAUUUUAAACAAGAUCCUGAAAACAGUUUACAAUAUGAAAAUCCUCUUUUAAAGCAAUGGUUCUCUCACACACAAUGUAUAACAUCAUGUCUGCUUUCAAUGUAAAUUAACAAAGAGCGUUCACAUCAGGAAGCUCAAAAAAUUAACACUAUGAACGYUGUUUUUACAUCCUAAACAUAGAAAUCGCCCUCAGAUUCUGAUCAGCGCUUCUYUCACAAACAGCCGUUUCAAUGCUUUUUUUCCUCAACCAUSUUAGAUUCAAUAUAAUUUGAAAUCUUUGACAGACUUUUAUCUUUAUUUGUAGUAAUUCACACAAAAUGCAGACUAGAAAUACUCCAUUUCUAAUUCAACAGUUUAUUUUCCAAGCUAAAAAAAAAAUGUACUCUGACUUUUCUUUUCCGUACUUUUACAAAGUUUGAUAGUCAAUGUUUCCUUUGUGUAUUUUUUAGCCAAAAUUUAGUACGGUAACCCUUGCCUUUGCCAACAGUCCAAGCUACACCUAGUUUGAUUUUUAAUUUAUACAAAAAAAAGAGAAAAGCUGCAAUGUUCAUUCAUGAUAAAAGAAAAGAAAUCUAACUUUGUAGAUAUUUAAAACGUUCAGUUCUUAAACAUCUCCAUUAAACCUCUGCCAAUCUUCAGGUUGCAACAGCUUGAGCUAAAGUAAAGCAUAUCACAAAGACGAUCGUUUGUUGCAAAGGGUUUUUCCAACGAAAGCCAGAAUCACAUAAAUAAAUGUGUAAAUCUCACCUUAGAUUGUUGUUCUAACCAACAAACAAUACAAUGCUGCAUUUGCUGACCUUAAAUUUGGUUGUAAUAAUAAUAUGUAGUCAGUUCAUUCUUGAAGAAGCUGUACUUUUGUUUAAAAAUAGUUUGAAUGUAUAUGUAAUGUUAUGAAGCAGACUUGGGAACGAACAGAGAAAACUCAGGAGAGCUUCCCGCUCCUUGGAAAUAUUUUAAWGUCACACAGGUGACGGCGAAGAGCUGCCGCCACACCGUGAGCUACAGACAUGCAGACUUUGUUCCCUCUCUUUUAACUCCUUGGCAUUGAUCCACAGAGAGCGGUGUUGUUUCUUUUCUUUUCUUUUUAAGGUUCACAAAUUCAUGCCACAAUCGGAGACUCGUCACACUGCAGUUAAAAACUGCGGCAAGUUGGCGCAUUGAGAUGAUGCAACUAGUAGACAACCGGUAGUGCGGGUAUUCCUGUUACUAGGGCCGUCGAAGCUGUGCGCUGUUCACAGGGCCUCGACGCCRCAGGACUGUCGCUGUGCACAGAGGGUCUCACGCAGACAGAAACUUCUCGAAAGUGAAGAAAGGGGAGAUGUGGGAACUUUGUUCGAGACGUACGUUGAUCUSAAGAGCUAAAUGAGACUUUGAACACGACUUUUACUAAAGCUGUGAACUUGUUUUCUUUCUGCUAAUUCUUCUGGUGUGUCUUCUAAAGAUAUUUGUCUUGAUUUCGGUCUGGUUAUGUAAAAAGAAGUUAAUGCACUUGUAGAGUUUGGGUAUAAACAGUCGAAAUAACGCAGCCCACUAAUGCGGAAGCAGAUGAAGUGUGUGUGUGUGGGGUGGGGGGGGGAAGACAGUGGAGCACAGCAAUGAUUAUGCACCAGAUCUGCUUACACCAUAUUUCAUCAUUACUGUGGAGAGGAAAAAAACAUUCAAAUAUUGAUCUGCCCCACUGCUUCCUUUCCUCCCUGCCUCUCUCGCUCACCACCAAAUCUGUCUUUUAUUCCCGCGUUUCCAUCUCUCGUUUUACUUCUCGCUAACACUUUCUGAAAUUUGCAAGCAUAACAAGAGUUUUCUGAGACGAAUCCCAGUUGCAAAGACGAUCAUAAACACGCAGACGAUACUUAUGAAUUAUGUUCAAAAACACCAAAAGUUUCUUGCCUUUAAACACACACAAAGAGAAGGUGGACAGAGUAUAGUGAACACCUGCGCAAUCUAUCGCAAUCCAGGGCUUUAGGUGUGCAAGGGCAGCGCGUGUGAAGUUUUCUUUAAUGCGUUCUCAAAACUCAGGGGUAAACAGACCACAUCACGCAACAACUUAAAACCGAACAUCAGUAUUCAGGUUUUCGACAAACCUAACGGACUGAAAAAAACACUCAUUUAGACACAACAAGCUGGGAUGUACCGCUCGUUUUUAAAACUUUUCUGGUAUUUAAGCUAUGCAAAAACAAGCUUCAUGGCAUUACACAGACAAAGGUAAUGGUAAAAACACAGGUUAAGUUCAUGUUAUAGUAAUCAAAUAAAGGUAUUAUUGAGUCUUUUAAUUAACUUAUAAAAAGCAGGUCUUUCAACAGCAGUYAUAAUUUGUAGGCGCUCCUGGUAAAGUUGUGGAAAACGUUGUAAAUAAAUGCAUCUUUUAAAGUGCCAACGUAAUUUCCCUAAGCUGAAAGUUUAAAAAAAAAAUUCAUCUGAGUUUCAGUGUAUGUCUAAUUGUUUUAUUAGAGCACAACAUUUCACAGAUGUACAAUUAUCUUAGCCACUCAUCAGCAGCCUGGACAAGGAUAUUUAUCUGCCACCACUCACAGUGAUGGAGAAUGCUUGCGAAGUCUUAAACCGUCCAAAACUCACUGUGAGCGAGAGUUUACAGCAAAAGGUGCCAUGUUUGAGUCACCAGGUCUCCAUAACAACCUCCAUCUACCAUGUUUGAGAUCAGGAGUUUAACAGUAACCCUGUGCUUUGCUCAGACGAGAUGAAGAUUUGGGUUUGGAGUAUCCACUCUCAAGUACGGUGGUGGAUCUGUGAUGCUGUGGAUGUGUUUCUCUUCCAAAGAUCCUUAUUAGAAAGCAGAGAAACGUAAACCAUAAACUUUUUUUAAAUACCAGAUGAUUUUAAAUUCGACUUUAGACCUAAGUUSUGUUGGGGGAGCUGAAGUGAACAGAACAACAAGAGGACCCUGAAAUAAAGYACCGAGAAGGAUUUCUUAACCACCUGAAUUAAAAGUUGUAUUUUUCAACAAUUUUUCAGUGUGCGAUUAUUCUAAUGCAAUGAAAGAUGACAAGCUUGUUUUAAGGCAUUUUACUUGUCUACCAAUAAAUGCGGGUAGCAAUAAAGGCCACCAUGCUUUUAUUAGCAACUUAAUGACACAACUAAGGUUAAAGUUAAACAAAUAAURGCUAAGCUCUUUUAUUUCUGAUACAGCUCUAGCAGAUGCUCCUGGACACCAAAGUUUCUUGCCUUUAAGCACACACACACACACGCACACACACACAAAGAGAAGAAGACGGCUAUAUUGACAGC